CAAGGAGGGGGGCGGGGCCUAUGACCUAUAUUGCAGCCAGCCACCAGGGGGCAAUCAAGAUAUUUUGGCUUCACUUAUACAGUCUUUGCAUCAACCCCUGGUUUGGUCAUCUUGUGUUAGCA